UUUUGAGCCAAAUUGUGGUGACGAACAGAGCAACAAACAACACAACGUAUUUUCUGUGUAACAGAUGGCUCUCUGUUGAGGAGGAUGACGGGAAGGUCCACCGGAUCCUCCCCAGGGCUGUACCUGAGGACCUGAAGAAGUUCCGCAACUUGUUCCUGGCAAAAAGUGCAAGGGACAUGAAUGACGGCCACAUGUGGUUCUCGGUGGUCGGCCGCCCUGCCCGGAGCCCGUUCACCCGUGUCCAGCGCCUGUCCUGCUGCCUGACGCUGCUCUACAGCACCAUGCUCACCAACAUCAUGUUCUUCGGCCGAGGGGACGACUUUGAGCCGCCAGAACCAAUCAGAUUCGCUGGGAUAGAGAUCAACCCGCCUAUUUCACUG